rnacentral:lncRNA from 1 species
AGGUGUGUGUUGAGGCUCUGGUGGUGCGUUCAGGUGUGUGUUCAGGCUCUGGUGGUGCGUUCAGGGGUGUGUUCAGGCUCUGGUGGUGCGUUCAGGUGUGUUGAGGCUCUGGUGGUGCGUUCAGGUGUGUGUUGAGGCUCUGGUGGUGCGUUCAGGUGUGUGUUCAGGCUCUGGUGGUGCGUUCAGGGGUGUGUUCAGGCUCUGGUGGUGCGUUCAGGUGUGUUGAGGCUCUGGUGGUGCGUUCAGGUGUGUGUUGAGGCUCUGGUGGUGCGUUCAGGUGUGUGUUGAGGCUCUGGUGGUGCGUUCAGGUGUGUGUUGAGGCUCUGGUGGUGCGUUCAGGUGUGUUGAGGCUCUGGUGGUGCGUUCAGGCUCACCUGGCAGAAGCAGCUCUGGUCCGGACUGAGUGAGGGUCUUCUCGGAGAGCUCCUCUGCUGCGGUUCCUUCUGGACGUUGCUGCGCUGAAACCAGCCGAGUCCAAAGUUCCCCAGAAGCAGAGCCAGCAGCAGAACACCCAGAGCCUGAAGAACCGCUCUGAACAUCCCGCCCUGCUGGACCAGGACCGCCGGAGGGACAGGAGCAGUACCAGACCAGGGCCUGUCAGCUGGUUCUGGCUCUGGAGCAGGAGCAGGACCUGUGUCCGCUGGUUCCGGAUCAGGACCCGUGUCGCCUGGUUCUGGUUCCGAUUCAGGACCCGUGUCACCUUGCUCUGGUUCCGGAUCAGGACCCGUGUCGCCUGGUUCUGGUUUCGGGUCAGGACCCGUGUCGCCUGGUUCUGGUUCCGAUUCAGGACCCGUGUCACCUUGCUCUGGUUCUGGAUCAGGACCCGUGUCGCCUGGUUCUGGAUCAGGACCCGUGUCGCCUGGUCCUGGUUCCGGGUCAGGACCCGUGUCGCCUGGCUCUGGACCCACUGUUAGCUAGCUACGGUAGCUUCAGGCUCGCUGUAAUUAGCAUCCGGAACAGUGGCUGUGAAAACGGAAGCGGGACCACGACUCGCUCAGGAGGGCAGCAGGACUUCAGAACCGCUCCGAGACCCGCGGACCCCCCCACACACCCCGGGGGACUGAAGACAGGACGGUCAUGUCUGGAGAAGUUUCUGUCCGGAGUCUCCACUUCUGCGUGAAGCUAACGAUGCUAACGAUGACGAGUAUUUCCGGUUCGUUC